rnacentral:lncRNA from 1 species
AUCCAAGACGCAUAUUUCAACAAAGAAAUGGGAAGUGUGUUUUUAAAGUGAUACAUUGUUUCACACACGUGCGCAUCAAACAGCGGCGAACAAGCAUGUUUGAGAUACAUGUCAUAUUAAAAUGGCAACAUUAUUUUCCCGACAAAAUAUAAAUAGAGCGUAACGAAAAAUCGGAACACGCCCCACUUCUCGCGACACUAUGAACCGCCCAAACAGUUAUCGGGCGAUUUAAACCUUUGUUGCGAGAACGCGACUCAUUGUUACCAUCACCUCAACACCGACGCGUCGUUCCGCCGCUACCUGUAAAUUACCAGCGCUAAAAUGGCUAACAAUCUUAACGUCGACGAGGCUCGAAACGGCGAAGAUAACACAACGCCUGUUGACGAUGCUCGUCGUCUUACAAAUGGUGAAGAGAAUACAAUUCAAAGUCAGCUUGUUACGCCAUCAGGUGUCCCGUCGUCAUGUGCACCUGAUGAAUCAGCAGCCCCGGAUAACCUUAAAACGGUGGUAUCAGUACCUUUGAGUGGCAGUAACAGUGGGUCUGAACCCUGUGACGGCGGUGUAGCAGUGACGCCAGGGGAUUCACUCCAGGAUACAACAACACAGAGUCUUGAGCCCAAGUCCAAUGGAUGCAACACGUCCACCUUGAGAUGUGGGGAAAAGCGGGAGAGGGAAUCGGACAACCCCUCUGAUGUUCCUGUGAAACGGCGUUUGAGACCAUCAGAGGAUAACGGGAAAGAAUGUUUACCAGACUACGAUGUGAGAUGUGCAGAGCUAUGGAUCGAUGGUGAAAUGGCUGCUUGGGAGGCUUAUGAAUCAUCAAAGUCCAGCAGCGACACCCAAAGCCAACAUGCUGAUCGACAACACGACAGUAACAGUUCUGUCAAUCGGCCUCCCACCCAGAAGGACAUUGUACGUGUUGUUCGAGCCGAAGUGGCAGCCUGUUUUCAACCCAUCACAAAGUUGAUUCUUUUAAAUAUGGAAUGGAGCAGAACUGAUUUCGCUGAGAUGAUAAGUAGACUUCGUGCACUGCAAAGGGAUGUCACAGAGUUGGCAAAUGAAAUGCGUAAUAUGCGAGCAGAUCAAAGACUGGCGUUAGACGCAAUCUCUCUUAUGAAUGAAAGAAUGAGUGUCAUUCAAAGGUGUGUGUGUGAGACGCACCAAAUGAUGACUACUACUAGAAAAUGAUGGGUCUGUUUAUUAUAUCAUACGGAUUUUUAUUCAAGCCUAUUUUUGCUAAAUUGUUUUUCUUUUUUAUAUAUAAUUGUAUUAACGAGUGAUUUUUAAAAAAAUGGUUUGCAUGCUUGUUUAUAUCAUUUUUGUGUGUUAUUUGAAUAGUUUUCUUAAAUAAAUAUUUUCAAAAUGGCCCCUAAAAGAUGUCACACUGAUUUCAGUGACAGCCAACCAGAUACUGUGCAGGAUAUGAUUUUCCAAGUAACGCAA